rnacentral:rRNA from 1 species
AGUGAACGCUGGCGGUAGGCCUAACACAUGCAAGUCGAACGGCAGCACAGUAAGAGCUUGCUCUUACGGGUGGCGAGUGGCGGACGAGUGAGGAAUACAUCGGAAUCUACUUUUUCGUGGGGGAUAACGUAGGGAAACUUACGCUAAUACCGCAUACGACCUACGGGUGAAAGCAGGGGAUCUUCGGACCUUGCGCGAUUGAAUGAGCCGAUGUCGGAUUAGCUAGUUGGCGGGGUAAAGGCCCACCAAGGCGACGAUCCGUAGCUGGUCUGAGAGGAUGAUCAGCCACACUGGAACUGAGACACGGUCCAGACUCCUACGGGAGGCAGCAGUGGGGAAUAUUGGACAAAGGGCGCAAGCCUGAUCCGGCCAUACCGCGUGGGUGAAGAAGGCCUUCGGGUUGUAAAGCCCUUUUGUUGGGAAAGAAAAGCAGCAGGUUAAUACCCCGCUGUUCUGACGGUACCCAAAGAAUAAGCACCGGCUAACUUCGUG